CGCAAUACCACACACACACUCACUCUCUCGCCAUCAAGACCAGGCCGGCCAAAGAGCCCCGGGAUACCGAUCGGCCCCUGAAGAGAUUAAGGACAGCAGAAACUUUGAGCAACGUCACAAACUAGAUUCACUGCACCUGCCUGCCAGGAUAACCUUUGACCCCGGGGCUUCCGUCCGCUCCCCGCUUGCCCUUUGGAGAGAAAAAAUGAAAGAGAGAUCAGCGCAAAGGAGACACGAGGGAGGAGAUUAAAACGUAUGGAAGUCAUUAUUGGCCGAUAAGGAGCAGAAGAAUUGCCGUUUGUGCAGCAACCUCCAUCUGAUGACAAAAUGCCAAGCUUGCAAUGGAGCUGUGAAACACGCAUGCCUACAGGUAACCAAACACACACACACACACACACACACACCUGACAUCUUUAGACCGAGGGCACCUAGCAAGUCGAACCCGUUAGGGCGUUUACUACGUGUGCCGGUGACUUUUUCCGGGAGGGACUACCGUUUUUAUGGGCCAUUAGCGCACACCAGACCCGCGAACACCUUGACUGUGCUUUUAGACUUCGAUGAUUAAGAAUCGAUGUAAAAUGUUAAAUUAUUUCCACAGACAUGCACGAUUAGCCGGUAGUCCAGUGGUUAGCACGUCGGCUUCACAGUGCAGAGGUCCCGGGUUCGAUUCCAGCUCCGGCCUCCCUGUGUGGAGUUUGCAUGUUCUCCCCGGGCCUGCGUGGGUUUUCUCCGGGUGCUCCGGUUUCCUCCCACAUUCCAAAAACAUUGCGUGGCAGGCUGAUUGAACACUCUAAAUUGUCCCUAGGUGUGAGUGCGAAUGGUUGUUCGUUUCUGUGUGCCCUGCGAUUGGCUGGCAACCGAUUCAGGGUGUCCCCCGCCUACUGCCCGAAGACAGCUGGGAUAGGCUCCAGCACCCCCCGCGACCCUAGUGAGGAUCAAGCGGCUCGGAAGAUGAAUGAAUGAAU